ensembl:lncRNA
UUGAAAGCAACAUGCUUAUUAUCAUCAAUGCAAACCAUGAUCAAGAAGUAAUCCAUAAAUUAAACUACAUAUGCAGAAUCUUACUGGUGCAAUGUUUUUUCCAGGAGCUUUGAAGACGUUUUAACCUCAGCCAUCAGAAGACAUUCCCCAUUUUUCUUCUCACACAUUAUUGCGCACAGAAAUCAGCGAGGAGGAGCGUCUGUCCCUCCGCUUGCGUCCAAUGGAACAAAGAGCAGCGUUAUCAAUGUGCACGCGUUCAGCCAAUAGGAGCGCUCCUCUUCUGGUGACGCGCAGCGCCGGCUCUGGUCUCUUCGCACUGCGCAGGAAGCGACACGCGCAAAAGAAUCAGAAGUUAAACGCAAAGGUAUCGCGGCUCACGCAACAGCAAGCAGCAGCUUUUACUGUAACCGCUCGGAGUUUCCCCGCGAAUGCAAGAGGAACCCGACGUCUCGAGCAGAAUGAAUGGGGCCAGCGCUCAAUGUUGGGGGCCAGUGUGCAGCAUGUGAGGGGCCAACUCUUCUGCAAUGUAUGGACCAUGGAGAAAGAAGUCUGGCACACAUGCAAGGAGAAGCAUGAACAACGUCUCCUUGUGUGUGUGUGUGUAAGCGGGAGUCUUUAUACAACGUUCUGUGCAAAAUUGCAUAUCAGUUUUUGCUUUUGGUUUUUUUUCCCAUACAAGGCAGGUCAGUUUACAGUGCAUGUUUUGCUUUAGUAAAGAGCUUUUUAGGAUCCAAGUAGCAUGUUUUGUUACUCUUGGUUUUUUUUAAUCUGUGGAUUAGACGGAGCGUUGGAUUCUCACCUUGUUUAAGUGCUUUGUCUGUGUAAGAUUAGGUUUAGCGCAUGUGAAAUUCCAUACAGUUAGGAAUAAUGCAAGAAUGAACAUGCGAUGAGGAAAGCU